GAUGAACGCUGGCGGCGUGCCUAAUACAUGCAAGUCGAGCGAAUGGAUUAAGAGCUUGCUCUUAUGAAGUUAGCGGCGGACGGGUGAGUAACACGUGGGUAACCUGCCCAUAAGACUGGGAUAACUCAGGGAAACCGGGGCUAAUACCGGAUAACAUUUUGAACCGCAUGGUUCGAAAUUGAAAGGCGGCUUCGGCUGUCACUUAUGGAUGGACCCGCGUCGAAUUAGCUAGUUGGUGAGGUAACGGCUCACCAAGGCAACGAUGCGUAGCCGACCUGAGAGGGUGAUCGGCCACACUGGGACUGAGACACGGCCCAGACUCCUACGGGAGGCAGCAGUAGGGAAUCUUCCGCAAUGGACGAAAGUCUGACGGAGCAACGCCGCGUGAGUGAUGAAGGCUUUCGGGUCGUAAAACUCUGUUGUUAGGGAAGAACAAGUGCUAGUUAAAUAAGCUGGCACCUUGACGGUACCUAACCAGAAAGCCACGGCUAACUACGUGCCAGCCGCCGCAGUAA
rnacentral:rRNA from 1 species